rnacentral:rRNA from 1 species
UUUGAUCCUGGCUCAGGACGAACGCUGGCGGCGCGCUUAACACAUGCAAGUCGAGCGAUCGGCGGGGGCAACCCCGUACGGAGCGGCGAACGGGUGAGUAACACGUGAGAAACCUGCCCCGGGCUCUGGGAUAACAGCGGGAAACCGCUGCUAAUACCGGAUAUCCACCUUCCACCGCAUGGCGGAAGGUGUAAAGGCCUGCUGGCCCGGGAUGGUCUCGCGGCCCAUCAGCUUGUUGGCGGGGUAACGGCCCACCAAGGCAGCGACGGGUAGCUGGCGUGAGAGCGUGGCCAGCCACACUGGGACUGAGACACGGCCCAGACUCCUACGGGAGGCAGCAGUGGGGAAUCUUGCGCAAUGGGCGAAAGCCUGACGCAGCGACGCCGCGUGAGGGAUGAAGGCCUUCGGGUUGUAAACCUCUUUCAGCGGGGACGAAGCGAAAGUGACGGUACCCGCAGAAGAAGCCCCGGCCAACUACGUGCCAGCAGCCGCGGUAAUACGUAGGGGGCAAGCGUUGUCCGGAUUUAUUGGGCGUAAAGAGCUCGUAGGCGGCUCUGUAAGUCGGAUGUGAAAUCUCACGGCUUAACUGUGAGCGGCCAUUCGAUACUGCAAGGCUAGAGGUCGGUAGGGGGACAUGGAAUUCCUGGUGUAGCGGUGAAAUGCGCAGAUAUCAGGAGGAACACCGGUGGCGAAGGCGGUGUCCUGGGCCGAUCCUGACGCUGAGGAGCGAAAGCUGGGGGAGCAAACAGGAUUAGAUACCCUGGUAGUCCCAGCCGUAAACGAUGGGUGCUAGGUGUGGGAGGCUAUCGACGCUUUCCGUGCCGCAGCUAACGCAUUAAGCACCCCGCCUGGGGAGUACGGCCGCAAGGCUAAAACUCAAAGGAAUUGACGGGGACCCGCACAAGCGGCGGAGCAUGUGGCUUAAUUCGAUGCAACGCGAAGAACCUUACCUGGGCUUGACAUCAGGGGAAAAGCCGCAGAGAUGUGGUGUCCGUAAGGGCCCCUGACAGGUGGUGCAUGGCUGUCGUCAGCUCGUGCCGUGAGGUGUUGGGUUAAGUCCCGCAACGAGCGCAACCCCCGCCUUUAGUUGCCAGCGAGUAAUGUCGGGGACUCUAGAGGGACUGCCGGCGUAGAGCCGGAGGAAGGUGGGGAUGACGUCAAGUCAUCAUGCCCCUUAUGUCCAGGGCUGCACACAUGCUACAAUGCCGGCCACAAUGGGCUGCGACCUCGCAAGGGUGAGCGAAUCCCAAAAAAGUCGGCCAAGUUCGGAUCGGGGUCUGCAACCCGACCCCGUGAAGUCGGAGUCGCUAGUAAUCGCAGAUCAGCAACGCUGCGGUGAAUACGUUCCCGGGUCUUGUACACACCGCCCGUCACACCACGAAAGUUGGCAACACCCGAAGCCGGUGGCCUAACCCGUAAGGGAGGGAGCCGUCGAAGGUGGGGUUGGCGAUUGGGGUGAAGUCGUAACAAGGUAACCAA